rnacentral:rRNA from 1 species
ACGGAGGUGGCAAGCGUUACUCGGAAUUAUUGGGUGUAAAGGGCAAGUAGGUGGCUUGGUAAGUGAGAGGUGAAAUACUCCGGAUCAAUCGGAGAACUGCCUUUCAUACUGCCUUGCUUGAGUAUGACAGGGGGAAGUGGAAUUCCAGGUGUAAGGGUGAAAUCUGUAGAUAUCUGGAAGAACACCAGCGGCGAAGGCGACUUCCUGGGUCAUUACUGACACUGAAUUGCGAAAGCUAGGGGAGCAAACAGAAUUAGAUACUCUGGUAGUCCUAGCCGUAAACGAUGAGCACUAGAUGUUGGUCCCGUCAGGGAUCAGUGUCGCAGCUAACGCAUUAAGUGCUCCACCUGAGGACUACGGUCGCAAGGCUA